rnacentral:rRNA from 1 species
CACCAGCGCCACAAGUGGUCAUCGCGAUUAUUGGGCCUAAAGCGUUCGUAGCCGGCUUGGUAAAUCUCUUGUGAAAUUGUUCGGCUUAACCGAUACAGCGUGCAGGGGACACUACCAAGCUCGAGACCGGGAGGGGUCAGAGGUAUUCUAUAGGGACCGGUAAAAUGGGAUAAUCUAUAGAGGACCACCGAUGGCGAAGGCAUCUGACCAGAACGGUUCUGACGGUGAGGAACGAAAGCCAGGGGAGCGAACC